CUGAAGGCACAACCGUCCGAUCAUCUAUUAACCAUGCAAUCUUAACCGUCCAUUACUUUUCUUGAUCCACUAUAUAUAUCUGACACUUUUAUAAAUUUCUGAUUCCUUUUCUCUCUCCUCUUAACCAUGUAUUCUUCUCCUCGAUCAGAUUUCUCGAAACAAAUUUUCUUUCUUCAAAUUAUUCAGUUAAUCGUGCUUCAAAUUAAUCAAUAAAUCGUUCUUCAAAUUCAUUGAUUAAUUCUUCGAUGGUUUAUUUGGUUCGCGUCUAUUCCCGAUUAUUUCUUCACUUUUUGCAGAUUUGAUUGAUUUCGGAGGACUCUUGCAGUGCUCUGAUAUUUGGACUAGACGACUAGUGGUUUGGUCUUGCUUGAUCGUCGGAUGUUCUGCGCGAUUCAGCGAGCUGAUAGGGCCAUAGAAGAUGAUGGCUGCGCUGCUGUUUGGCUCUCCCAAUUUUAUGGUGUGUUCAUAUAAUAUGUACUGUGUUAUUGGUGAGUUUAUUAUAUGUGGAUGAGAUAGACAGAUAGUGGCAUUAUUAGGGUUAGUGUGUUGGGGAGAAUGGAGUGUUUUCCUUGUUGUGAAUUUGGAGUGUUUUCCUUGUUAGUCGACCUUUGCCAUGUUGGGUGCGCUUGCUUGGCAGGUCACAAUGUCAAUAAAAGAUCGUUUUUGUGGUUUUGUUGGGAGAUGGCACGGGGUUUUUCCCGGCUCUCCCAACGGUGUGUGCGUGUGUUGUUUCUGUUUUUCUUUAUUUGUCUCCCUUUCCCUGCACCCGUUGCGCUUGAAUCAUCAACUCCAUCGCUAUUGUCGCAUUGAUCAAAUCCACAAUCAAAUGAUUGCGUUGGACAACAUAUGGCCAAGAUCCAAAUUUGCCAAGGUAUAUUUAUCAAAAUCCUUUCUAAUUUCCCUCUUUCACUACUUAGUAGUUAGUACGACUAAAUUGCAAUGCAAUCUGCAAAGGUGAAGGUGGUGUCAUUAUUCACAUCAAGGCGUCUUACAAUUGGUGUCUUCGAAAUUGUUUGCAUGCACAGAACCUUACUCUUUGAAAUUUUGCAUAUUAGGGCUUCAAGGCCUCCUACAAUUGUCUUGUACAGAGUAUAUUUUGGGAAAUUCUGCUUAUUUAGAACUUAAUUUAUUUUCAGAAUGUCGAGCAUGUAGAACGUCUCUUCAUUAAGUUACCCAUACAAACUUACUCCAUAACUUCCAUGAACAUAACUUCCAUGAACAUUCUCAUGUGGAAAGCUACAUUCAGUUCCCAUAUUUAUCCAAAGGAUAGGCAACCAUGUUCUUGCAUAAGCUACUCUGAUUAAGCAACUGACACGCAAUUUGUAGAGGGUAUUGUAAAUGUGAAUACUACUUGCCAAUUGCACAGAUAGGUCAUCCUUGUUUAUAUGUACUGCACAAUCGUAUAUGUGUACGCUGCACCAAUCCUCAUAUGUCAAUAUGUGUGUAGUUACCCCAUACAGAUUAUAAUUUUUUGAAAACCAUAUUGUUUGGGGUUGUUUGGCAAUCUCCCAACCAUGUAAGUAUUUAGUUUCACAGCUUCAUGCCACUGUAAGUCUGUAAUCCUUGAAGUAGAUUCUAAAUUUAUCUAUUAUACAUUCUGUUCAGGCAACUUGAUGCUCAAUUUUAUUCAAACAAUUUAUUACCAAUGAGUAAUUUUAUUUAUUUUAUUUUAUAUUAUAAAUUAAAAUUCUGCUCUUUGUUGCUUUUGUUUUGCAUUUUACAUUACUUUGAACCGAGAACAAUAGUGGUGAGUCUUGCAAGUGUUUAAUUAUUGAUGUAAUAGAAAUUGUGUCAUUCUCCUUGUACACUUUUGUAUUUAGAAUUUCCUCUACAAGUUUUAUUCAUUUUAGGUGCCAGACUGUUGAUACUCUAACGAUAUGUGGCCAAGUUGCUGUUCUGAUUUUGAGGAUCGGAUCCCAUCUGCACGCCUACAACUGUCGCCGCUUGUUAGUUUUGCAUGGAUGGUUAGCCUAGCAAUGAGGCACUGUCAAAUAUGCUCGUUAGAAAGCUUUGAUAUUUAUGAUUACAGUACUUGUUCACAGUUGAAUGUAAACUGAAUAUGUUUUCAAUGCCAAAGGAAUCAAGAAUAGUUGAAGUGUUGAUUGUUGAUGCUUGAUAUGUUUUGUGAAAAUCACAACUUCAACGAUUCAAUGCUGAGUUGCUGUUGUCAAAGUGAGAUGUGCACCUGUUAAUAAUAUUUCUUGAUUGAUUGUUAACUA